GUGUCAGCAGCCGCGGUAAUACGGAGGGUGCGAGCGUUAAUCGGAAUUACUGGGCGUAAAGCGCAUGCAGGUGGUGGAUUAAGUCAGAUGUGAAAGCCCGGGGCUCAACCUCGGAAUUGCAUUUGAAACUGGCAGGCUAGAGUACUGUAGAGGGGGGUAGAAUUUCAGGUGUAGCGGUGAAAUGCGUAGAGAUCUGAAGGAAUACCGGUGGCGAAGGCAGCC
rnacentral:rRNA from 1 species